CUCUCAUAUUUCCCUGUAGACACAUGUGGACCACACAUGAGAGGCUGGUGACGUGGGUCUGCAUGUAAAGGCGUUUGCAGCCAAGCUCCUUGCUCUCUACGUUGAGGGUACAUCUUACAGACUGUGGGCCCACCUGUAUCUGAACCUGGUUUCUGGCCCCACCCAGCAGAAGUGCCCACAGCUGGUGCUCGCUCUGCUUGUUGAGAAGGGAACCCAGGAACCAGAUCUGCUGCUGUCGUGGUCCUCUGCUCGCAAGCACAGACCCAAGGCCAGAUGCCUGAGUGACGUGACAACUUAGGGAUCUCAUGUCAUCCUGACCCAGCAGAAGAGUGGUCACCUGCUCCGUGAUGUGGGCCCAAGGAUAGACACCUGAUUAAUGAUGGCAGGGGCAGGGAAAAGCAUAUUGAGAACUCCUGGCAAAUACCACGACUCCUCCAGGAACUGUCUCUGCUUCCUUACUCCACUUCUGCUAACUGAGGUCCAUGGAGCUUGCCACCCACAGAGAGCUCCCUGGCUGUCCUGGUUCAGCAAACCCGCCAGUCCUCGGCCUCGCUGGAAGUCCGCUUCAACAACAUCCCUGCCUCAUCCCAGGCCAAGGCCUCUGAGGACCCUGGAGCACCUUGUACGGGGCUGCUAAGAAAACACUGUGGAGUAAAGGCUGUUUGCAGAGGCCAGCUUGAAAGGCAAGCUCACACCAGGAGGAAGAACGGGGUGUGUCUCCACGCGGGCUAAGGUGGACUGAUGCCAUCCACACCUCAGUUUGCCUUCCGUAUGCCUUCACCUCCGCCUCGCUAGGCUCUGAGUCACAGAUUUUGCAGGGCUACCAGCCCAGUUCCUUGGCCUCCCAGGUGCCAGAUUAGUUGGCUGCCUGGGCCCAGCAGGGACAUCCAAGACUGUGUGGGUCACACAUCUUUGUAAAUGGGGACAGAGAUCCAAAGGGGAGGCGGCUUGUCUUAAGUCACACAGUAGGUUGUGACAAGACCUGGUGGUGAAACAGAGGCAUAGCAAUGGGACAUUACCUACCAUGGUCAUUUAGCUAGCUAGCAGAUUACAUGGGGAAACUGAGGUUUGAGGAUGUGAAAUCAAUCGUUGACCUAUGCACCAACAGUCCAGAGGUGUUAAAAUUCAGGAUGGGUCCCAGGAGAGGACUCCCCCCCACAAGCCUCUCCCCCCACCUCUUCUCGGAAAGAAGCUAGCGUGGGUCAUCCCCUGUUUGCUGAGUCUCAAUAACCCCAGCUGGUGGCUCCCACUCCCCUGCACAGCCCCUUCAGAUCUUAUCACUCCAGCUAACAGAGGAAGCUUCUCACCUGGUGUCCAUCCCUCCCCAGGACACACCGUGUGCACAGGUGCAUAGGUGGGCGGAGCCAGAGGACAUUCCUGGAGACCAGAGACAAUGGCAGGGUUAAGAGGGCCAUCCUCUUUCACACCUCCUGAUUCCUCCAGUUAGUAAAUCAUUCUCCCGAGCUGUACAAAGCAGCCAUUGAGCAGGUCUAGUCCCUGCCCCCCCCAACCCAACCCCCCAGUCCUGUGCCACAGGGAGGUAGAGGCUACUCAGGUCGCUGAGAGUCCGGGUGGCAGGUCCUGAGCUCUCUGCCCGCCCCUCUGGCAUGGGGAUCAGGUUACCCCAUCUAAUCCCUGCCCCUCCAUCCACCCUCUUUGAGCCCAUUGUAAUUUAUAAUGGAGGCAUGAUGCAACCUGCUAAUUACAUUGCUGGAUUUCCAACACAUCCCUGCUUCUCUGAGUCAGGCAGCGGCAGCAGGAGCAGCCGGCUCCGCUUUGUGGCUUAUCAGGACUGGGUUAUUCAGCUCACACCCGAUCCGCCUCCCCCCAGCCUCCUGUCUUUGUUAACCAGGGCUUGCAUCACCACCCGCUUUCCAUUUCUCUGGAAAUUUUUUAACGGCUCUUUUUUAUGAGGCGCUCCAUCUUGUUAGCUAAUGAAUGACUGUGGGCCAGCGCCGAAGACUGCUUUGUGCCUCUAUUAAAUGUUACAUGAUCGCAAUUAUAAGUUAACAAGGGACAGCUAAUAAAAAAAAGAUAAUCUA